rnacentral:pre_miRNA from 1 species
GGGGAGCGCAGGUUACUGGGCUGUGUCCCCCAGCGCCCUGGGAUCUGGGGUCUGCGCUGCUGGAAUCGCGCUCCCGGGACCGUGGACCCU